ACCCGAACCCCACGCUCCAAACCUUAUCCCCUUUCUCUAGAUCCACCACGCACGCCGCCGCCGCCCUAGGUGCCCUCUCCGGCCGACGGCAGCGCUACGCGUCCAGCGAGGCUGCCACCACUUUGUUCCCCUCUUUCUCGCACCCCUCCAUCGUCAUCACCACACGGCUGCCAUUUUCCCAUGCCGAGGUGGGCUUGUGCUGCCGCCGCCAUCACACAGGUGCCAACAGUGGCGCUUUUUGUUCAUACGCAAGUGCCCGCUGAUGCCACCUCUGACCUCUCUCUCAUGGCUCCACUGCCGCAUCCCAGACUAGCUAGAUCUAUGUGGGUCAAUGUCCCUUCACUCCCAUUCGUCAGGUCCAAGGCGCCCAACCCCUGCUUCCUCUGCUUCCGGUGAUUAGGAGCUUGGUGGUGGGUGCCCCCAUCUCUCCCCAAUUCAGGAGAACAGGAGCUAGCCAUCCAUGGAAGAAACGACAUCGUAAGGGGAAAUAAAUCUUUAGUAAGUUUGGUCAAAAAGGCCACCGGACGAUGUCCAUAGUCAUAUGCAUAUGCAUCACAUAGACUUGAUGCUACUACUAUUUACUCUCAAGAACAUUAGUAAGUAUGUAUCGAUGAUAGCAAGCAAAUGUUGGAUUCCCUCACUGUUUACUUCUGAUUGGCAUAUAGGACUAUGUGCUUGUCCAGUAAACACAUCUCCAGUUUUCUACUAAUUCUUUGGUACAACAGUAUACAUGUAGCAUUUCGUAAAUGUUUCCUUGUGAAAAUAUCAUACUAUAACAUUAUGUUCUAUUUAGUUCCCAGAAGUAGUACUUGGUUUCAACUUUGAAAGACCAGAUGAAUUCUUCUAUGGGGCGUCUGAACAAAAGGGGCAUUUUCAUCAUCCCGUCACUAAGGUAGUGGAGCAAGAUGUCUUAUAUCUAGGUGAGGGCAUCAUUCAAUGUUGGGACAAGGAAUCUCAUCAUUGCAAUAUAUAGCUACCACAUUGGACCAGGUGCGUUUAUCCCGAGCUGGCACGUGAAGGAAGAAUAGUACAAAAAACUCUAUGCUUAGCACACAUCUGCUAUGGAAAGUACGUCAUCGUUAAGCCUAGGAAGCAAACAAAAGGACUGCACUCAACGGAACCAUGAAGCCAACGAUCUACGCCAACUAGAUGUUUUAGAUUUCAUCUUGUACAUGUCUCAUACUUGCAUCUUUUACCCUUUCCUGGUUAUGUUUAGAAUAGACUGAAGUGUAUGUAUGUGACAAAUAAUUAAUGGAAUAAAAAAAUGUUUGGUGCA